rnacentral:rRNA from 1 species
CUGGGAAUCUUGCGCAAUGGGCGAAAGCCUGACGCAGCGACACCGCGUGGAGGAUGAAGGCCUUUGGGUUGUAAACUCCUUUUGUAGAGAAACAAAUCCCGCUUUGCGGGAUUGAGGGUACUCUAAGAAUAAGCACCUGCUAACUACGUGCCAGAAGCCUCGGUAAUACGUAGGGUGCAAGCGUUAUCCGGAAUUACUGGGCGUAAAGAGUGUCGUAGGCGGCUUUUCAAGUGUGUGGUGAAAUCUUUCGGCUCAACCGAAAAAUUGCUACGCAUACUGUUAAGCUAGAGAAUACUAGAGGAUGCUGGAAUUUUCGGUGGAGGGGUGAAAUCCGUUGAUAUCGAAAAGAACACCAAGGGCGAAGGCAGGCAUCUAGGGUAUUUCUGACGCUGAUGAACGAAAGCUAAGGUAGCAAAAGGG